rnacentral:rRNA from 1 species
ACUCGAAACAAGCGGCCCGUAUCCAGCCACGCAUGUCCGCCGCCGGCGACGGGGAAGAUGGCGCCGCCGCCGCCGCCGCCGACACGGUGGUCCUGGAGAUCACCGACGCGGCAGCAUCCCCAUCCUCCGCGCCCCCACCUCCCCCCAUCCCCGUCUCCGCCCUCGCCGGCCCCCUCCCGUCCCCGACAGUCCUCGCGGUCCGCGCCGACCGGAGCAGGCUCAUCGAGAGCUCCUCCUACUUCCGCGCCCUCCUCGGCGGCAGCUUCAGCGAAUCGGGCAGCGGCUACGUGCGGAUCAGCUGCGACCUCGGUGCCGCCGUGCAGGUACUCCGGUACCUCUUCGAGCCUCCCGGGAGCUUCGCGAUCUCGCAUCACAACUUCCUGCCGCUGCUGGAGGGUGCUCUGUUUCUCGCUGUCGAGAGCCUUCUAGUGGACUGUGAAAGGUGGUUCAGAACCGUGAGAUCUCGAAAUCCCUCCAUGGUGGUACCGUUGGAUUUCAUAAUCGAGGCCUGGUUCUUCGCUCAAAAGCAUGGGGUUACUUUUGUUGAAGACGUAUGCCCAGGAUAUCUAGCUCAGAAUUUUGUACAAGUUAUCUCCAGUAGGUCAUUUGUUCAUAUACCUUAUGAUCUGCUGUGCUCCACCAUUGAAUCCCCACACCUGACUGUGGAUAGUGAAAAGCAAUUGUGUGAAGCAAUUUUAUCUUGGAUUUCCGCAAGUAGGCAAUCCUGUGAACAAUCAGUCUCCAACUCAGCAGAUAACCAACUCUCCCUUCUUAGCAAGGUUAGGGUAUGCCUUUUACCUUUAGGAUUUGCAGCAGGUACAAAGAGAAACUGCUUUGAAUUUGGGAACAAUGCUGCAUGUAUGAUUCUUAAUCUGCUUAAGGACAGUUUGCAAACUCUACUGUAUACAGUUACCGAUGACAACUUGGAUAGUUACCGUAUUCGAUUAACAGAAUACUCCAAGAAAAUAGUACUUUCGGGAUGUCCCCAGUUAACUACGCAAUUCCUAUACAUAUCGGCGCUCCCCACUGAUCUAGAUGCUGUAUUUAAGAGAACUAUAGUGAGCGAUGUUAACGAUGGAUGUUUGAACCAUUACAAUGGGCUGGUGAAGAAGGCUAAAACCUUGUCAUUUAGAAAUGUACGCAUUGUGGAUCUCUCCAAAUGUCCAAAUGUACAUUUUGGUGCAGCAAUUUUAUGGAUGAAGUGGGCAUUUCCAGAAUUGAGGACAUUCAUAGCUUCCUAUUGUUUACUCUUUCAGUUUGAAGAUUUGCAGUAUUUGUUACUGAGAUGUCCAUGGAUUAAUGAAAUCAAUUUGAGUAUUGAUACAAGCGUUAUACUAUCCAAGUACUCGAUUAUAUCUUCUAGAUCUGAAGUACGGCGUGACGUGAAUCAAAAUCUAUCUAGCUAUUACAUGCAAAGUGGAUUAUAUGGGACCUCAGUAAACCCAGUUUUCUCAAAUAUAUCAAAAUUGAUACUGGAAGGCCGAAAUGAUAUUACUGAUAUGAACUUGCUGGAGAUAUCCAUGCUGAAAAGUUCCCUGUGUUAUAUAAACAUUAAACAUUGCACCCUGUUGACAGACGAUGGUAUAUCUACACUACUGUUGAAUUGUAGAAAAAUGCACUCGAUGAUUCUUUCUUAUACAUCGUUUGGAAAUCAUUCAAUUCAAACCCUAUGCUCAUUGGAUCCUUCAGAUGGCUUUUCUUACCAUAAGGAUGAACAUGCUCAUGUUAUGGCAUUUAGGUUGCAAGAAUUGCAUCUGGAAGGCUGUGAAGAUGGUGCUCUCUGCAACUUCGUUGGCUCUUCACUUGAGUAUCUUGAUAUUUCGGAGACUGUGGUUUCUAUGGUCUCAUUUGCACCAGUUAUACGAAGAAACUCUAAUUUGAGCUGCUUGAAAACAGCUGGAUGCCGUAACCUACUGUUUGAACAGGGUGAGGUACAAUCCACGAGCGGUAACAAGUAUGGCAGGUUUCUUCAGGAGAUAACCAGUACGUGCUAUUUAGAGGAUGUAGAAAUGGGCUGGGCAUUUUGCCCUGUUCGAGUUGAUGACCUCAUUCCUUCUUUUAGUAAAGUAAGGCGGAUGACAGUUGGCCUUGGCACAACAUUACCAGAGAAUAUCCUGCAUGCUCUUCCUGAGAUCUGCCCGUUUCUCGAGUCUUUGGUUCUUAGGUUUCAGGUAAUCUCUGACAGAGUUGUAAGAAAUCUAUUGGAAUCGUCAACAAAUCUUCAGGUGCUAUGCCUGCACUAUUGCCUCGGCAGUUUGACUUCAUUUAGCUUUCAAACAAUGGCACCAGCAUUAAGAAUAUUACGGCUCCAGUGGGUUACUCCAUGGAUCACAAAUGAUGAUCUGACAAUUCUUACACAGAAUUGCAAUUUAGUUGAACUUUUGCUGUCUGGUUGCAAACUCCUUGACUCCAACUCUCAAGAGAUAAUCUCUUCUGGGUGGCCAAACUUGGCAUGUUUACAACUUGAGGAAUGUGGUCAGAUAACACUUGAUGGGGUUGAUUCUAUUUUAGAUUGUAAAGCUUUGGAAGAAGUCUUGCUUAGGCACACCGGUAGAGGUAUUGGAAGAACCAUUAUAACAGAUGCUAUCAGAGAGCUGCCGCUCCUAAGGAAGCUGGCGCUGGAUCUCUGCGACGCGUCCGAGGGAGGCUACGACACCCCGAACGUUCCGGAGGGGAAGAUGAUGAGGAGCGUGAGGAUGAGCAGGUGCAAGAAGUCGGCGGCAGCGGCGAGGUCGUGCUUCGUAGAGGCGUCCUCCUCGAGUUCGAACCCGAAGCCGGUGCAGCACAGGGAGACCAUCGUGCUGGAGUGGAGCAGCCGGCAGCUGACGACCGCCGUAGUGGAAGAAAGACUCUAGUCAUGUAACGGAACUUCUUUCUUUUGAGAGAAAGACUGUAGAACAGUUUAUCUUUGCUUGCAUAAUUUUUCUGGGGAAUUGUCCAAGUAGAGAGGUGUUCUACAAUUUAUAUAGGGAGAAAAGGAAUCGUCCAAUUAUUUGGCGGAGAAACCGGGUAAAUGGAACAUAAGUGUUUUGUGACGUGAAGGUUUUUAAUAAUAUGAAUGGCACGGUUUUUUAG